GACGAACGCUGGCGGCGUGCCUAAUACAUGCAAGUCGAGCGCAGGAAACUGACGGAACUCUUCGGAGGGAAGGCAGUGGAAUGAGCGGCGGACGGGUGAGUAACACGUAAGGAAUCUGCCUCAAGGAUUGGGAUACCUCCGAGACAUCGGAGCUAAUACCGGAUAGUUCAACGGACCGCAUGGUCCGCUGGUGAAAGGCGCUUCGGCGUCACCUUGAGAUGGCCUUGCGGUGAAUUAGCUAGUUGGUGGGGUAACGGCCCACCAAGGCGACGAAGCAUAGCCGACCUGAGAGGGUGAUCGGCCACACUGGGACUGAGACACGGCCCAGACUCCUACGGGAGGCAGCAGUAGGGAAUCUUCCACAAUGGACGAAAGUCUGAUGGAGCAACGCCGCGUGAGGGAUGAAGGUUUUCGGAUCGUAAAACUCUGUUGUAAGGGAAGAACACGUACGAGAGGGAAUGCUCGUACCUUGACGGUACCUUACGAGAAAGCCACGGCUAACUACGUGCCAGCCGCCGCAGUAA
rnacentral:rRNA from 1 species